rnacentral:rRNA from 1 species
AUUGAACGCUGGCGGCAGGCUUAACACAUGCAAGUCGAGCGAGCGGCGGACGGGUGCGUAAUGUCUGGGAACCUGCCUGAUGGAGGGGGCUAACUACUGGAAACGGUAGCUAAUACCGCAUACCAUCCGAUGUACCCAGAUGGGAUUAGCUAGUAGGUGGGGUAAUGGCUCACCUAGGCGACGAUCCCUAGCUGGUCUGCGAGGAUGACCAUGCACAAUGGAACUGAAGAAAGGUCCAAACUCCUAAGGGAGUCAGCAGGGGGGAAUAUUGCACAAUGGGGGGAAGCCUGAUGUCGCCAUGCCGCGUGUGGGAAGAAGGCCUUCGGGGGGUAAAGCACUUGCAGCGAGGAGGCGUUACUCGCAAGAGAAGCACCGGCUAACUCCGUGCCAGCAGCCGCGGUAAUAC